CCUACGGGUGGCAGCAGUGAGGAAUAUUGGUCAAUGGGCGGAAGCCUGAACCAGCCAAGUAGCGUGCAGGAUGACGGCCCUACGGGUUGUAAACUGCUUUUAUACGGGAAUAACGCGCCUUACGUGUAGGGCGUUGCAUGUACCUUAUGAAUAAGGACCGGCUAAUUCCGUGCCAGCAGCCGCGGUAAUACGGAGGGUCCGGGCGUUAUCCGGAUUUAUUGGGUUUAAAGGGAGCGUAGGCCGCAUGUCAAGCGUGCUGUUAAAUGUCCGGGCUCAACCCGGGCCUUGCAGCGCGAACUGGCGUGCUUGAGUGCGCGGAAAGCAGGCGGGAUGCGGGGUGUAGCGGUGAAAUGCUUAGAUAUGACGAAGAACCCCGAUUGCGAAGGCAGCUUGCUGGAGCGGAACUGACGCUGAUGCUCGAAAGCGCGGGUAUCGAACAGGAUUAGAUACCCCUGUAGUC
rnacentral:rRNA from 1 species